GCCAUGGAGAUAAAUAGGCGGCUGGCACAGUGCUCCUAACGGCACCUGGAACAUAGUAAAUACUGCAUAGGAACCUCCGCACACUGUUCUUCCUGGCUGCCCCACUGGUUCCUUCUCCUCUCCAGCUGGCUAUGGUGCUGGGGUUGCAGGUGGGUGACACUGUAUUUGGCUGUUCACUCAUUUCCACUCACUGCCCUGCCAACAAAACCUCUUCUGGUGAGAACAUGCGGAGUGUGGCUUUACUUCCAGGAUGCAGGAAGAAACACAUCCACCAGGAACUCAGAAUUGACAUCAUCUCAAGAAAUGAUGGUGCCAGGUGGUGGCUGCCUGUGAUUAUCUUUUCAGACAAUCAUUACUUUGUGCAAGUUGCAGUUGGCAAUGCUGCGCGUUCGCCACAGGUUCCUGCCUUGGGGUCCUUGUCUGUGAGGAGCUGUCCUCACAUACUCCAUUACAAGAUGGCACCGGCAUCCGGCAGAACGCACCUAGUAAAAAGGGCAAUACGCAGGCGCCUGGUAACUUCCCUACUCAAAGGGACACGUACGCUUUGGUACGUCAUCUGGCAUAAUUGGCAGCGACCAGUCAGAGAGUGACACGUCCUAGGUGAGGAUAGUUUCCUAUAUAAGGGACGGUUAUUCCUCACUUGGCGUCUCCGCAUUGUAAGCUUAUGCUCUCCCUCUCAAGACGCAUUAAAGCUUUUCUGCAGUAGGAUCCUGUGUGUGCCGCGUCGUUCCUGCUGGCGAGACGUAGCGCGGGGCACUUGUCCUGACUACCCUUCAUGAUGGACUGUUUUUCUCCUCAAGUCAUUUUUUUUUUUUUGGUCAGUUUUAUCAUAGCAGUAGGAAACCAAACUAAAACACUAGGUCUCCAACAAACUUCACGUAAUCCUUCCUUAGAAACUUUAACUUCGGAAUAAACAAACAAACAAGCUGGGAGCUAAGGUGGGCCAGGAAGUGGAUGCUACCCAGAAAGAAUAGCAAUAAGACAAGCUGGGUCUUGCAGGAAGUCUUAACCCUCUUCACCCUCCUAAACCCUUUCUCUCUUUUCUCAUGUUGGAAAGAUAUCACUCACCUAAGUGAAAUGCAUUGGGCUUGGAGCUUUGUAUGGUCAAAACAAAGCAAGGAGGUUGCUGACAUAGCUUAGCUGGUAGAAUGCUUGCAUAGCAUGAACAAAGGCCUGGGCUUGAUCUCCAGCACUGUACAAAGACCAGUGUGCUGCCCCACACAUUUCUCAUCCCAGACAUGCUCCUGUCUCCACCUCCUAUCUUACAGAAGUGCUGGUAUAGAUGUUUGCUAGCAUGUCUGGCUUUUUGUGGGUUCUGAGGAUCUGGACUCAAGCCCUCACACAUAUGCAGCAAAUACUUUACUCACAGAGCCAGCCCCUACCUUACCUAUUAUUAAGAAGAGGUGUUGCUUUGGUGGUCAAGUUAGUCUUGAACUCCUCGCUCAAGUGAUUCUUCUGCCUUAGAUGCACACCACCUUGCUGGUCAGAGCAAUGUGCACAUUUUGUCUUCCAGCUUUGGAUGGCCUUCCCAUCAUCUGCCCUGACGACAUCUACAGCACACAUCCACCCACAGUGUGGUCCUGCCUUUCAUCCUGAAGCCUUUCCACCUGAGAGCUUUUCGAAGUACUGUGUCCCAUGCUGUCACUUAGAAAGAACAUUUGCCAUCUCUUAAAACUCACUCAGAUGCCUGCCUAUUCCCUAUUCAGGCUCUACUCCCAUGUUACAUGUUUACACCGCUUAGGAUGUUCCCGGGCACUUUAAAGGCCAGAAAACAUACUUCCACCUGGAUUAGGUGCCAAUGGGAAUCCUGAUCUGCAUCAGUUGGUAAUGCGUCUCAUUUGUCCGGUGGCUCAGCUCUCCAUAGACAACUUUCUGAAGUUCACAGACAGAAAGCAGCUGUAGUAGAAUGCUGACCUCAUACUCUUAUGAACAGUGUCCAAGAACAUGGGACUAAAGUUUCUCCUCUCCAUACUGAGGAUGGAAUGCUAGGCAAAUGUCUACCACCGAGCUACAUACCUACUCCUCAAGGCCAGCAAACCUUAAGGCUCUCUUCAAGGCUUAUCAUAAGACCUUGUCUGGCUUCCCUCUGGACCUUGUUGGGCUGAGUUUAUUCAUUGCACAUCUGUAUUUGUGACUUGGGAGUUGUAAAGCAACUCACAAUUCCAGGACAGAGUACAUGGUGUUGGUGAAGUCAUGGAGACGGGUGCUUGAGGCCAUGGGUCACAUUGCAUUCAGAGUGGGAAGCAGGAGGUGGAGGAUGCUGGUGUUCAACUUCUCCUCUCAUUUCCAUUCAGUCUGGACCUGAAUGAACGUGAGUGGGAUGGUGCCACGAAAGGGCAGGUCCUCCCAGCUCAGCUGGCCCCUCACAGACAUCUCCACAGGUGCACCUUUUAGGUAACUAGUUGAAGGGUUAGUCCAAUCACUAUCACAAUACCCUUAACCCACCUUUGUCUCAAGAAUUGAAUACUCUGUUGAAGUAUGGUUGUCCAAGGUCUGGCUCUCUCUUUCUCCUCUCCUCUCCUCUCCUCUCCUCUCCUCUCCUCUCCUCUCCUCUCCUCUCCUCUCCUCUCCUCUCCUCUGUCUCCCUUCCAUCCCUUUCCUUCCUUUCUGUUUUUUGUCUCUGUCUUUCUUUUGUUUUUUUCCAGACAUGGUUUCUCUAUGCAGCCCUGAAGGUUCUGGAACUCACUUUGUAAACCAAGCUGACUCAGAGAUCUGCCUGCCUCUGCCGCUCAAGUGCUGGGAUUAAAGAGGUGCAUGGCUAUGGUCCGGAUUUCUUAAUUGGUUACUGACACAGACAAUGAACUAUUAUUGGGUUUGUGUCAGGUUCCAAAGUCCCUGCUUCCCUGUUGCUGAGGACCAAUGGUGAAAAGGAGGUAGAAAAGGUAUUGAAGAAACAGCAGCAUGCCCCUCACACUUUCUUCCUCAAAUUGUUAUUUGGAACAGCAUUGUUAUUUCAAGUAUAUGUAAAUGAACGUAUGACAAAGGUUCUAUCAGAUAGGAGAGAGAAAAGAUCUACUCAAGAAAGCUGGAUAGUCGAUGACAGCGUGGCUUCUUAGUGUACUGUAACUGGAGCAUGAGGUAAUAACCUAGAGAGUCUUUCCUGAACUUACUAAAAAGGUCACAGUCAAACGGUAAAAGAACGAGUUUGACUGCCACAUCUUGGUUUUGUUUUUGUGACAGGAUCUCACACUGUAGCAUAGGCUGGACUGGGACUCAUCACCUAUAUAAGCCAGCAUCAAACUCUCAGUAAUCCUCCUGCCUCAGCCUCUGAAAUGUUGAGAUAACAGGCAAGAGCCACCACAUGGCAUGGGCCAACAGGCACGCGUUGACUCCAUCUUUCAUUUAUUCUAAUAAUGCCAACCAUAUUCUUGGAGGUAGAGGUAAGAUGGUAAAUUGAGGCACAGGUGACCUCUUACAUCAAGCAAGGUAGUACAGGCACUAAACAGAUAAUUAGGGCUGGCGUACAUCUCAGUGAGAGAGAGAUGGCACGCACGGGACUCAAGCCAGAUCUCUAUCAAACUGAAGCUCAACGCAAGCCCCUCCUCAGCAGCACUAACCAAAAAACCCCCAAAUAAUGACAAGGUAACCAAGGGGACCGGAAGGGUGGCUCACGUGGUAAUGUGUUUGCUAUGCAAGCAUGAGGAACUGAGUUUGAUUCCCAGAAGCCAUAUAAAAAAUGCUGGCUGGCGUGACCCACGGCUGUAAUCUUAGGCUGGGGAGGUGGAGACAGGCAGAUUCCAGCCUGACCUAAUUGGUGAGCUCCAGACUAAGAAGACUCUCGAAGGAGGUAGAUCGAGUUCCUGAAAAUGACACCCAAGGUUGUUUAUUGGCCUCCACACAUACAUGCAUGUGUGAGCAUACCUCCCCAACACACACACACACACACACACAUUAAAAUAUAAAUGAAAAAAGUUAAUCACACAGAUGCUCCAAUCUUUGCUGAGGGUCUGCUACUCACCAUCCUCUAGUUCUUUAGGAAAUCCCUUCUCCACACUAGCAGGAGGUCCUGAGGCAGUGGAAGCCCACGGCACAGUUGAAAGCACCACAGUAGGACAGGAGGCGAAGUUUACUUAUCUUUUGUUUGUUUGUUUGUUUGUUUGUUUGUUUAGGGACAGGAUUUCUUUGUGUAGUCCUGGCUGUCCUGGAACUCACUCUGUAGACCAGGCUGUCCUCAAACUUAGAGAUCCACCUGCCUCUGCCUCCUGAGUGCUUGAAUUAAAGGCUUACUCCACCACCACCCAGGAUGCCAAGGUAAGAAGGCAAUCUCUGGCAGACAAGAUAAGUAGCUUGCUACAAGGCACACAACUAGGGUGUUGGUGUGGGGACAUCCUCUUGGAGACGGUGAGGAGGAAUGGAAUGAGGAAUAGUCGGAAGGUGAACUGGGAGGGGGAUAAUGACUGGACUGUAAAAUAUAAAAAGUUAAAUUAUAACAACAACAACAACACAGAGGUGGUCCAUGGAAAACUAAGAACUGAGCCUACUCAUGGCAAAACGAAGACUCUUAGUCACAGUGGUGUAUGUCACCCCUCCCAUAAGAAUCCCAUUGUUGUCCCCAUUUUAUAGAUGAGAAGACCGAGGCUCAGGGCAGAAUUUGUUUAAGGUUACUGAGUCUAGGAGCUAAAUCAGAAUGUGGGUAGAUCUAAGUGACUUUGCUGUUCACUACAGUCCCACACCACCUCUGCAGGGGCCUGUGUCAAGGCCUCAGCCAUUCUGCAGUGUCUAGUCAUUUACCCAUGUCUCUCCGUUCACUAACGCUACAAGCUGCUUAAGAGAAAAAGACCAGGCUAUUCGGCUCUGUUUCUCUGGCCCCAGAAUAGUUUUGGCGUUUAAUCCACUAUGCAAAUGUUUGCUGAAUGAACUAAAUAACCGAUAACUGGAGGAAGGAUUGCUAGGGAAGUUUCCAGACCCAGGAUAUGGCCUCGGAGAUUGUGCCUGAAUCUGUCUUCAGCCUCAGUAACAAAGCCCUCCAAAAGGAAGAAAGAAAGAAAAUGGGGCGUAGCAAGGAUUCCAGACUGGAUUCCAUGACGUCACCCGAAGUUGGAUGUCUGCACUCGUAAACAAAGGCUCUUGUGACAUGGCCCCUGGCCAGGCUAGCCACUCAGCUCUUGUGGGGGAGGUGGUUGAAGAGAGCAGCCCCCAUGUUGGCCUCUACCCUGUAUUCAGCCUCUGGAUUUAGCAGGUAACUCCUCCAAGGGAAAACCAGGACAGGAAAUCAUGUUGCCAUGGAGACCAGAGAGGCCUUUCCAGACAGAGGGGAAAAUAAACACACUGCGCUUGGACUUAACCCCCACCAAGCCACGGUGGCCUCAUCUCCUAGCCAGUGAGGCCCCGGUUUUCUCUAGAAACUUCUAGUGGCCUCUCCUCCAAGUACUCUUAACAUCAAGGGCUGAGUGAAUGGGUUACUUGACCUAAGCAGUGUCCCUGGGGGAACAUAAGCCUGGGGAAAGAGGAGGAAGCCAUUUUGUACUUCACCUUCAAGCCUCCUCAGACUCUCAGAACUGGCAACUAGACUCUGACAAUGACUAAACAUUUAUGUUGUGUCUGUUGUAUGCCAAGUUCUACCUGCUUUAGAUUUAUUGAACUCAUUCAGUUGUCAUGGCAAUCAUUACUUUGAUACUUUUCCUAGCCAGGAAACAGACACCCAGAGACUGGGAGGCUCUCCCAAGGUCAUCUGAAAGUUGGGAGUGGCACCAGAAUUAAGGAUACUUUGCAGUGUUAGGACUACAGAUUUAUUGUAUAGUGUGACCGCUAUUGUUUGAUGAGUCACUACCUUGAAUGAUUAUUAUGGGGUUAAAUUCAAUGUGCAGUUAUUGAGCACCUACUGUAUAGUAGGUACUGUAUUGAGCAUGGAAAGAAUAGCAAGAAAGAGAGAAAGAUGAUACCAGGGCACAAAGCUUCCAGGACAGAAGGAAGGGAUCUUUCUUUUUAGUCCCAAGUGGGAACAGGUUGACUCCUUGAAAGAAGUGAAGAGAAGCCAGAGGAGCUGAGGAAACAAAGGGAACAAGGGAGAUUAAUUUCUAACUGAGGGCUGGAGAGAUGGCUCAGUGGUUAAGAACACUGACUGCUCUUCCCGAGGUUCUGAGUUCAAUUCCCAGCAACCACAAGGUGGCUCACAACCAUUUGUAACGGUUCUGAUGCCCUCUUCUGGUGUGUCUGAAGAGAGCAACAGUGUACUCACAAACAUAAAAUAAAUAUAUAAAUAAAUAAACCUUUAAAAAUUUUUUUUCUUUUCUUUUUUUUUUUUUGGAGAUGGGGACUGAACCCAGGGUCUUGUGCUUGCUAGGCAAGCGCUCUCCCACUGAGCUAAAUCCCCAACCCCCUUUAAAAAUUUUUAAUUGAAGAAGUGGGGUUUGUUCCCAUAUCAGACUCAGACUGAGCACUGAAGAAUCCUGCGCUCUGCCAGGAUGCCUGCCAUGGACCAGGGCAAGGCCUUUCAGGCUGAAUGCCGAAAGGUGCCCACCGGGGGUGUCUGCCUUUUUAAAUUUAUUAUUUUUAGGUUGAUAUAUAAAGCAGUGGGUCUCCUUGUGGCAUCUCCAUCCAUACACGUAGUUCUUUGUCCUCAUCUGUUCCCCACCCCCACCUCCCUCUCCUGUGCUCCGUCACUGCCAGCCACCACUGUCUUUCUUCUCUGGAGAACUGUCUCAGUUAAACCCUAUUGCAUGCUUUCCUAGUACUCGCAUGUUUUAGUUUGCUUCCUAUUGCUAUGGUGGAACACUCCUACCAAAAGGCACCUGGAGAGGAAAAGGGUUUACUUGCUUUACACAUCCCGAUCACAGUCCAGCGCAGGAACCUGGAGGCAGGAGCUGAAGCAGAGGCCAUGGAGGGAUGCUGCUUCCUGGCUUGUCCCCCAGGGUUUGCUGAGCCUGCUUUCUUAUGCAACUCAGGACCACCUGCCCAGGGCUGGCAGGUGCUGCCUGGGGUGAGCUGGGGUCAUCCCCCCAUCCAUCAUUAAUCAAGAAAAUGUACCACAGGUUUGCCUACAGCCCACUCUGAUGGGAGCAUGUUCUCAAUAAAAGGUCGCUCUCCCUAGAUGCCUCUAGGUUGUGUCAAGCUGACACAACCAAACCAGCACGGUGUAUCCCACUACUCUCUCCAGGACCAACUUCCCUAAAGAUGUCUUCCUGCAAAGCCAAACAGACAUAUAUGAUUUCAAAUCCAAGACCCACACACUAGAGAUGUGGUUCUUCUUUCACUGUCGAGUUUAUUUCACCUAAUGAGCUCCAGUCCCACUCAUUGUCCCGCAAAUGCAUGUUUUUCUCUCUUCUUUAUGGCUGAAUAAAGCUCCACUGUGCAAAUACACCGCAUUUUCUUUAUCCACGUAUCUGAUGACAGACACCUAAGCUGGUUCCAUUUCCUGGUGGUUGUGGAUAAUGGCCCAAGAGGUUUCAGCAGAGAGGUGGAGAACAAGUGACUCUCACACUGAACUUUACCUGAGCUGCUACCUCACUUGGCAUAAAGGCUGCAGGUGGGUGGGGCCAGGAAAUUCCACCACUUGAUAGUGUUUGAGCUGGACACACAGACUCCUUGACCUCUGCUGUGCAGCAGUUUCCUCUAUGAUUAAAACCUUCCAUCUAAGGGGGAAGCUCUCGGGAUGUUGUUAGAAGGCGGCGAAACAACAGGAUGCUGUAAGGAGGUGGUUCUCAAAACCUUCCUGACACUACGGCCCUUUAAUACAGUUCUGCAUGUUGUGGUGGAUCCCCAACCGUGAAAUUAUUUUCAUUGCUAUCUCAUAACUGUAAUCACGUAUGGAAGCAAGACAUAACUUUGCUACUGUUACAGAUCAUAAUGUAAAUAUCUGAUAGGCAGGCUAUCUGAAAUGCGACCUGUGAAACCCCUGUGAAAGGGAUAUUUGACCUCCAAAGGAGUCAAGACCCACAGGUUGAGAACUACUGCUCUACGAGGCUAUGGAGCUCUCCAUCCUGCAAGGAAGCUCUGAAGAUCGGGAGUAAACGACUCAAAAUAGCUUCAGGAAGUCCCUGAGACUGACCAGAUUCCCUAAUGCCUUCCCCUCUCGGGCCCCUAGCUUAUAUAAAUUCUUAUGUAAGAACUGUAGAGAGAUACUCAAGGGCAACCAAACUUCCAGAAGAGGCUCAUAUAUUUAAAUACUUGAUCAUCAGGGAGUGGCACUACUUGAAAGGGAUUAGGAGGUGUGGCCUUGUUGGAGGAAGUGUGUCACUGGGGUAGACUUUGGGGUUUCAAAAUCCUCAGCCAGUCCCAGCAGUUCUCUCUUCCUCCUGCUUGUGGAUCCAGAUGUAGAACUCCCAGCUACAUCUUAAGCACUAUGACAGCCUGUGUGUCAUCAUGCUCCCUGACACAAAGGACUAAACUCUCUGAAACUGUGAGCAAGCCCCAGUUAAAUGCUUUCUUUUAUAAGGGUUGCCUUGGUCAUGGUGUCUCUUCACAGCAAUAGACAGUAACCGUGACAUUCUCCAAGCUCUAAGAUGCCUCUGCUACGUACAUGGCCUUCCGUACCAUAGUCUGCACCUCAGUCUGUUAGAGAGGCUCCUGCUCCUCUCGGCUUCUCCAGCUCCACCUGGCUAUAAGAGCCCACUGUUCUUAGCCUCGGAUCCUCUUGAGUUUCUUUCACUUUAUCCUCUCUGUGGAAAAUUUCCUUCCAUGUAGUGCUCCUUAUGUGACCAAAUUAAAGCCUGCCUCCUCUGUCCUGCCGGAGUCUCACUGAAACACUUCCCACCGAAAUUCAUUAGCCAAGCCCAUCUGGGAGACUCCAUGGGUUCUGCCCAGCUCCCUCAAACUAGAGCACCCCAGUUCCUUUCCACAGCAUCUAUAGGUGAAUGUGUCAUCAAAACAUGUCACUGUCCUAUUCCCUAGAGAUGGACAGAGGUCCUUUCACAUGUUGAUGGGUAAAGCACAGUAGAGCACAGGUUAAACACACAGGGAUUUGGCAAUGUAUUUCAAAAGCUGGGUCCCUUUGACCCAGUAACUUAAUCUUUAGGGAUUCAUCUCAAGGAUAAUAACCCUAUUGGUGGGUGCUGGGAUGACAGUAUGUAUCUAACAGUGGUUGGCUAGUUAAAGUAAUUCAACCAUGGACCUGGAGAGAUGAAUCAGUGUGUAAGGGCACUUGUUGUUUUUGAAGAGUACCCAAGAUCAGUUCCCAGUUCAGAACCCAAGGUGCACAACCAUCUGUUACUCCAGGACCAGGGAAUUCAACACCCUCUUUUGACCAAGUAUUCAUAUAGUACAUAUGUAUACAUACAAGCAAAAGAGUUAUACACCCAUAAAAUAAAGUGAAUAAAUCUAACCAAAAUUUAAUUGAAUCAUUUUAAGGGCUGAGUGGGACGGGGUUGGCAUUCAAAAGAGUCCUAACCCCGACUAGACAAACGCUCUACUGGUAAGCAACAUCUCAGUGUGUGUGUGUGUGUGUGUGUGUGUGUGUGUGUGUGUGUGUGUGUGUCUGUGUGUAUGCCUAUUUAUGUCUAUGUACAUGUCAUGGCAGGGGUGUAGAGGUUGGAGGACUUUUAGAAGUCUGUUCUCUCCUUCUACCUUGUGGGUCCUAAGGACAGAACUUAAAUCCUUAGGGUUGGUGACAUGCACCUUUAUCCACUGAGCCAUCUCUCUUGUCCCACGACUUGAGUGUUGCAAGCUUUCUAAGCUCCAAAGAUAGAGCCGUACUUCCAUCUAACAGCUGGAUUACUGAAAACAGCUGGACUACUGAUAGCCAAAAAGGUAACAGUGUGCAAGCCUAAAAUCCCACACUUCCGGGGCUGGGCGGGAGAAUCCUAAGUUUGAGGUCAUCCUUGGCUACAAGGACUUCCAGGCUAGUCUGGACUUCUUAGUGAGAUUCUGUUCUGAGACAAGGAAGUUGGGGGUGGGAGGACACAUUAAAUAUUUACGUAUUUGUACCAAUAGAAGAUGUCCUAUCUCAUUAAUAGAAGAAAGUUGCAGAUUCCAGAACAGGAAGUUUAAAAAUCCAUUUAUCUUCCCAGGCUCUGGGGAUCAAAACCUAGCUUCAGUAAGCUACACAAGGGCAAUGGCACAGCAUGAGCUUAGGGUGUACGAUGUGUGCAGAGCUCUGGAUCUGAUCCCUAGCACACAAACCAAAACAAACUCCAUUGUCCUGAAGACCCUUUCAUAGAAGUGGUGACUCCUAAGUGUCUUCCAGUAUUUCGUUGUGUGCAUCUGCCACAGUUUGCCAGGGAGUAUCAGAAAGCUCAGCUUUUACAGCAGUAAACUGUAUAUUAUGUCAUACUACACACAAUUGCUAUACAGUGAUCCAUUGCUAUAUAACAAAUUAUCCAGAAUUCAAUAGCUUAAGACAUAAAAUGUGUGUCAUUCCACCUUCUCCCCAGGUUGCAGCCAGGUGUGGCUCAGGCCUGUGGUCUCACAUCCUAGCUUGGAUCAGGGAGAUUUUCCUCCAGCCUAACUCCCAAUCUUUGGCAGACCUCCUUUCAGGUUGCCAGUUGCAGGUUCUUCCUCUGUUCCUUGACACAUGGGUCUCUCCAUAGGUUACAGAGGAACAAGAGGGGUUGCCUCAAAGAGAGCCAGGAUGAAAGCAGAGUGUUAUCACCAAAUGGGGACACGGAAUCUCAUCAUUUGGGCCAAUUCUGUUAAUGAGAGGAGGUGGCUCACUCUCUCCUACAUUCAAGGGGCAGAGACUUUAUAAAGAGCAUGAAUAACAAAGUAAUUACUACAUGAGACAUGCCCAGGGCGAUGGUGUACCCUUGGAGCACACCUUUAAUUCCAGCAUUCAAGAGUCUGAAGCAGGUGGAUCUCUGAGUUGGAGGCCACUCCAGUAUACAAAGUGACUUCCAGGCCAGUCAGGCUAUUUAGAGAGACCCUGUUUCAGGAAAAAGAAAAUAGUCAAGGACCAAAGUUAAGCACGAAGUGCAGAAAGUGGGUCUGAAUAGUGAGUGUGAAGGGGACAGUGGAAGAGGUGCCGUCAGUCCAACCCAGGAGCUGAUAGAUGAGGUACUUAUUAAUUCAACAAAUAUGUGUGGAGUACCUGCUGGCCACCCUGGCAUCACGUUUAUACAUUAGCAAUAAAACUGUAAACAGAACAGAAAAGUCUCAGCCGUAUAGCAGAGAGGAGCCGAGGCCACGAAAGAGCUAAAAGCACAAAAGCAAAGCAGAGGCCUCAUAGUUCACAGGUGAUUUACAGGAAGACUCCUCAGAGUCUGUGACUGACUGGACUUUAGUGAGUUAGGGUAAAGGAACACUUGAAGGUCAAACUCCCAAGCUCAAGGUUGGGCAGCUGGUGGAUUCUGGUGUUUUUCUUGUCAGGAAGGAAGUUGGAAGGAGAAUGGACCUAGUGAAAGCUAAUAAGCCUAUGUUGAAUUUAAGGACUCUACAUGGGCUCAGGCCCACCAUCCUAGCUACUUAGGAGGCAGUGGGAAAAGAAUCAGAAGUGUAAAGACCUCCCUGACCUGCAGAGAGAGUUUAAGACCAGCCUGGACAGCUUAGUGAGAACCUAACUUUAAAAAGAACCAACCAACCAAACAAACAAAAAACAAGAAACAAACAAACCCCACAAACAAGAAGAAAAAAAACCCCUAAGAAACAACAAAGCAAGACCUAGGGCUGGGCAUAGUAUCAUAUACCUUUAAUCCUAGCACUCAGAAGGCAGAGACAGGCAGAUCUCUGUUGAGUUCAAGUCCAGCCAGGUCUACAUAGUGAGUUCUAAGCCAUCCAGGCUAUGUAGUAAGACCUUGUCUCAAUAAGCAAACAAACAAAACAUGAAUAAACCGUUUGUUUAAAGGUCUGGAAUUGUGGCUCACUGGUACAGUGCUUGCAUGUAUGUGCAAGGUACUGGGUUCCAUUCUCAGGAAGGAAAUAACAAUUUAAAGAAUCAAUGGAGUACCAGGUGAUAGUCAGGAGCUGAGUGGACAGUAAUGGAGGACCUUGGAACUGAUGUCACCUCACAGUAAGAAGUCAGUGAAAUUUUUAAAGCUAUCCCGGUGAAUGCAGAAAAGAGAAGAAGGCUUGCAGAACUCAGAAGCUAGGAAUCUAUAAGAGUUGGGAAGGAGGAAAGAGACCAAGGAGGAUGCAGAGUCUGGAAGGGUGUCAUGGAUUCUGUGAAGAGACCUGGCAGAGAGAAUAAUGACUGAGUAAAUUAACAAAAACCCUCAGGAGCCGGGGUGUGUCUCCACCCGUACAGAAAGGAAGUCACUGCCUGCUGAGAGGAGCUGUAGAGAGGGGAGUGAGAAGAUGAAAGUAGAACCAUCCGAAGCCGAGGAUAGAGAGAGCGAGUGUGGAGCACUGUGGAGUGUUUACAUCCUGUGGACACAUGCCCAGGAUGGGAGGCAUUAUCUAAAUGAAAUGUGCUUCCGGGAAGCGGCUACGUCUGAAAGGCUGGCAGCCUUUCCUCUUUGAUUUGCUCCUAAUGCGUUGUUCCAUUAGGCCAGGUGAUCCGGCGAGAAACGCUGAGGGUGGCCUGUCCUCCUGGGCUCUGGGACCGGAAGGAGCAGAAUGUCCAGUGGACGGUGAAACAGUGGAGCACAAACAACAGAUAGUAGGAGUUCCCAGAGCUAAUGGUCAGAAGCCCAUAGGACCCUCCUCCUCUCCCUCCUCCUCCCCCUCUCCCUCCUCCUCCCCCUCUCCCUCCUCCUCUCCCUCCUCCUCACCCUCCUCUGCGUGUGUGAAAAGCAGAGGCUGAAUCCACCUUGUUUCCUUGGUGAUUUUAAACUUUUAGUUAAAACAUAAUUAUAGCACGGACCCCUUCUCUGUCCUCCCUCCGAUCUCUCCCUUCCCGCCUUGCUUUCCCAAGCUCAUGUCCUCUUUUUAUUAUUGCUACACAUGCACGAAUACAUGAAUGCAACCUGUUGAAUCUGUUAAAUGUUGCUUCUGUGUAUAUGGUUUCAGGGCUGACCACAUGAUAUUGUAUAACCAAUUAGGGGAUGUGUCCCUGAGGAGGACGAAUUCCCCUCUCAGCCAUUAGCUCCUGGGCCUCGCGGGGCUUCCUCUUCCACUUUAGCUCGUCUAUUAUUGUUUUCAAUGCUCCGGCCUUGCUUAGGCAGCCACAAUGAUGUGGUGUCACGAGUGAGCGUAGCUUCCCCAUCAUUUCUAAUAGACACAAUCCCACGACAGACUUCACGGUCUUUGACUCUUACUAUCUUUCUGUCUCCUCUUCUGAGAGGUUCCCUGGGCCUUAGGUGAAGAGAGUGUACUGUAGAUGUGUCCUUUGGGGUUGCCACCGCUCACUCAAUUGCUCUCUGCAUCUUGAACAUCUGUGGCUUUCUGUGAUGAUCUCUGCUGAAAAGUGAAGUUUCUUGGAUGCAGAACCAUCUCUCUGUACACUUCUGUCCAUUCUAGUAUAUAUAUUGUGCGUGUGUCUGAGUGUGUCCGUGUAUGUCCAUGUGUGUCUGCCUGCAGACUUGCUGUUUCUUCGCUCCCUUUUUCCUCUUGGAGACUCAGAAAACUGCAUGGAGUCAGUAGUGUCGGGGAGGAUACUGGGUCGUGUUAGCUUCCCUUCCAUUACCGUUCUUGUGACUCUGUAUGAGGAAACUGUUUUUCACAUGCUUGUACAGACUUAAGUCUUAUGCACAUGCAGGGUGGGGUGGGUAUUUUAAGAGAAUAAAUAACGCUUGCAAGAGUUGGUUUAUGAAGUCUCACCAUCCGUAGCAAUCAACACUCUGAGGACUUUAUCUGCGUUUCUGUGUGAUUCUGUUGCAGUAGUUGGGGGAGGGUUUCACUUCCACCUGAAAUCCAUGCUCUGUCACUCUCCAAGCCCCCCUUUUAAAUAUUUAUUUAUUCUAUGUAUAUGAACAUGCUUUUGCUGACACACAAGGAGAGGGUCUUAGAUCCAAUCACUGAUGACUGUGAGCCUCCGUUGCUGGGAAUUGAACUCGGGUCCUCUAGAAGAGCAGCUAAUGCUCCUAACUACUCAGCCAUCUUUCCAGCCCUCCAAGACCCUUUCUAAGGAGCUCUGAGGUUACUAUUAUCAUUUAAUACUACAUUUAUGGAUUUGUUCAUUUAUUUUAUUCUUCAGUGCCAAGCAAUUAGACCCAGGGCCUUAGGCUCUUUAAGCAUGUGCUCCGUAGCCAGGCAACACUGUGCUCAGCCCCACGAAUGGCGGUUUGAAUCCUAAGUUGGAAAUAAAAAGUAGACAUUUACAGACAUCAGACUUGAAGUGGUCUUCUAUGGGUAUUUAUAAAAGCCCUGAUAUCAGGGCUUCGGGAGCUUAACACGAAUUUGCUGCCUGCUCCUCCCCCACCUCCCCUUUGGCUACUGCUACCACCAGAGGCUCCUCUCAGCACAGAACAGGCACCCCUGGGUGAGUGCAGACCUCUCUCUGGGAAGAGCUUUGAAGCCAGAUGACUGAGGUGUGAGUUCAUUCUGAAACACCAGCUGCGCGACCUUGAGCGUGGCAUGCCACUAAACCUGUUUUUUUCUAGCUUCUCUUCCUCACUCUCUUUUUAAGAGCAUGCAGAGAGCUGAGAGAAAAAUGCUGCAACAGCCUAUACGAUGAUAGAGUAUUGAUUACCUGCUGAUGAACUCACCAUUCAGGGGUAUCCAGCCUUUUCAUAUUUAUUUGUAUUAUUUGUGUGCGUGCGUGUGUAAAUGUGUGUGUGACAGUGCCGUAGAGUUAGUUUUCUCUUUUUUUGUUUGAGGAACAGACAGAAGUCAGCAGGCUGAGCAACACUGAGCCGUCUGACUGGCUCCACAUCCAAACUUUUGAUAUUGAAAUAUACUAUUAUCUGUGAUGUGUUUAUAAAAAGAUAAAGAGAGGAUAUGCCCCGGGUUUCAGCACCAAUGUUGUGUUACAGAAAGAUAAGGAGAGGCGGGAUUAUGUUCUAUGGAGGUCUGGGCGAAGGGGGUGCCUCAGUAGGUCCAUGCUGGGGCAUCCCUUCCCCCGAGGGACCAGCCACUCGACGAUAUAGUAUAGAGUUUGUUCAGGGCAUGGGGAGGGCAGUUAAGAGGGUAGUAGGGCAGAGAAAGAGAGGAGCAGAGGAGUAGAGUAGAAGGCGGUCAUGAGCACAUGGAGAGAAGGGGAGGGGAAUGGGGAGAGAAGGGACAAAGGAGCAAGAGAGAACAAGAGGAAGCAGAAGCAAAAGCAAGAGGGUGAGGAGGGGGCAAGCAGCCCCUUUCAUAGUGUCAGGCGUACCUGGUUGUUGCCAGGUAACUGUGGGGGUGGAGCUUAGAAUGCUAACAAUCCGGGACACAGGCUAGUUAUUCUGGGAUUCAUGGUCCCACCUCCACCAGCCCUCCACCACGAUCCAUCAUUUCAACCUUCCUAGAUUCAUCCAUUGUCAAUAUUUUGCUCUACUGGCUAUACAAGACAUAUGUGCCUGUAUUUGUCUGCAAUAAACCAUCAUAUAUGCAAGUAAUUUAAAGCCUCAGUGUAUCUUUCCUAGAUAUUCUGACCUGUAUCACCUAGGAAUAAUAUUCUCCUACAUAAGUGCAAUGCCAGAAUCACACUCAAAGAGAGGUCCGGAUGACUUCCUGAUGCUAUCUCACUAUGGAGCUCUUCCUCUAACUUCACCAAGUAUCCCUCGUUUCUUUUAUGGCUGUUUCAGUCCUUCUACUAAGGCGCCAGUCUGGUAACGUAAACCAAGUUUAUAUCGCUUAACAUUUUUUUCUUCCUGCAUUUUGUGUGCCCAUUAGUAAAUAACACUAGAUUUGGAAGACUCUAGGGGAAUCUUCUUGUAGAGCGUGUAGUUUCGAGGGCUUAUCUGAUUCCUUGCUAGGGAGGGAGAGCUAACUUUUUCCGGCCUUGUUUCCUUUCUGGAAAAUGAACAGAGUAGCUCCGUGAAGUUUCUACAUGCGCAGUCAGUGUGAGGACUCCACACCAUAACGCUUGGAAAGUGCUCGGUACAGUUCCCGGAACACAGCUUCCGUAAACGUCGCUGUUGUCACCAUAACAACCAGCUCUCUUUGGCUGUGAUUGCCACCGCCAUCUUUAUUUAGUCCCUUAAACUCCAAGGCAUAGUGACGCGCGGACUUUUUGAUUACUUCCUCGACCUUCUCGGAUAUCUUACACGCGAUCUUGCCCCUUCCCCCGCGAACUUAAUUAGCGACUCUCAGCCAGAUGAAUAACUCUCUUAACCCCUCCAAGAACUAAGAGUUUAGCCUUCCUCGUCCUCCUAAGGAUAGCUUCCUUUUCCAGAACCAUAAGGUUAUAACUUCCAAACGGCUCAGACAACAUCGAAGCAUCAGCUGAUGCCAUGCCCACCCAGGGAGGAAGAGGAUGCUUCGUCAUUGCUGGUGCUGCGGUGACCUUGGUGCUGGGGCUGUCUGCACACAGCUGCUGCAGUGCUGUUGAAGGGAUGCUGGGGAAAGGAGAUUGGCUGGCGAGGAAAGUGAGGAAUGUACUGCCAGAACUCUGGGCUCCCAGCCAGAUGCUAAUUAUGAUGGCCUGGGGGUGCCAUGGGCCCCUGUCAGCCCAUGGAAGGAAGUGUGGGGGCUGGUGGGAGUGGGAGAGGUGAGGGAAACAGGAAAGGUGACAGGGUCUGACAGGUUGGAGAAAUACACUUAUUCCCCCAGGGUCCACCCUCCCUGCAGACCCAAGCUGUCUGGGAGAAAUUGUGGCCGUCACCAUGGCAACAGCAGCAGCUGAUGUGUGAUGCGCAGUGUCUUUAUUAGAGAACCCUGCUCAACCUUGGGCCAGCACUUUUCCAUCUGAAUCUUGUUUCUUCAGUGUACAGGACUUCAGAUGGCACUGGUGGGGCUGGGGGCUGGUGUUUGGAGAUGAAGCGGAGACGGGGUUGUUCUCUGCUGUUUUAUUAAAUUUCUGGGGAAUGCAGAUAGAUGGGAAUGCAGAUAAGAUGGCAGAGAAGCAGAUUUGUACAUGGCUGAAACAUCAUUUAAAUAUUCAAGCUGCCUCAGAAUCCCCUUCGGGUACACACAGACUGCUGAAGCAGCACUCCUGUCUCCACACUCAGGAGACCCCUGUGGGAGGGGUAGUCUGGGAUACUGUGGACCUGGCAGUUGAGGUGAACGCUAAGUAUCCUAGCUCUGAAGGCUUCCACCUGGGCAAUGCUGGCUUUCCCGUUGCUCCCUCAUUAAACCUCAACGUACUCAUCUGUAAAAUGUGGACACUAGAGAACGUUAGCUGCCUCAGGUGAGAGUUGAAUGCGCUCAGGGAUGAGGGUGCUGUGAAACCUUAUACUGGUCCUCCAUUAGGGGCUCAGUCCUCUUGCCUCAGCUCUUCCCGUUAGCUGCUCCUGUAGCUGGGGCUGCUACUGUGAUCCCACAACUACAACUAGCACUCCAGUGCCGCCUCCUUUGCUGCCACUGCGGAGAAUGACACUCUCUGGCAGAGCAUGACUAUGAGUCACUGGUAACUAGUCCUUCCCCACAGAGGACAGCAGAGUGUCUGAACCUAACAGCACUUCAUCGAGAAGCUGGGGUACCAGACGGGAGAAAUGGAUAUGAAACUCACACGGAUGAUGUCUCCUGUGGCCGACUUCAAACUGCUGGGGAAUCUAAUGGGAAGGAGGUUAACUAUUUACUGGUUAUUUACUCAGAGACAGGUUCUUUCUAUGCAGUCCAGGCUAGCCUUAAACUCAUGGUCCUCCUGCUUCAACCUCCCAAGGGCUGGUUUACAGGCAGGAGGCACCAAGCCCAGCCGUCUACUAUUAUUUCUGAGACAGGGUCUUAGGCAGGCCACGCUGGCCUUGAACUCAAUAUGUAGCCAAGCAUGGACUUUGGAUCCUCCUGUCUCCACUUCCUAAGUGCUGGGAUUACAGACACAGGCCACCUCACCUGAUGAAUUUGGUGCUGGGGACUGGACCCAGGGCUUUGUGCAUCCUACUCAAGCACUGUACAACUGGGUUUUCUGCUCUGAAUGUUUUUUCCAGAAUGGUUCUGAAGAAAACAUUUAGUACCAUGAAAAAUGGAAAGCUAGUAGCAGGGCCCUGAGAGAAAACACGGAAACAAAAACAACGAAAAACUUCGGGAUCAUUGAUGUCUGGCUGAUACUCUCCUCAUAGAGAAAUUUUGGAGACUGCUAUAAAUGGAAGCUGGCAAGUAGUAGAGAAGGUGUGAAAAACAAACUGUAAACUUCUCCACUAAUCAGGACUAAAAUGUGUGGAGAGGGAUUACAGCUUACCAAGGCACUUAGUGCUUGCUGUCUAGUCUCCAGGGGUGUCUCUACCCAAAGUUGCCACUGGCCUGAAGAGCAAAGAAUGACCUCUCCUUGGGGGGAAGGGAGUGAGAAGUGGGACCCAGAGCCCACUGCACCUUAGUGCAUCCGACUGUAGUCAUGGAGACGGAUGAGGGGGUGUUCCAAGGGAAAGGCACAGAGGCAGUGAAGACUUCAUAAGGCUCCCCUCAGGCCAUUCCACCCACUGUGGAGUCAGAGAACCCGGGGAGGAAGAUGAGUCACAGAGGCCUUAUUAACUGAACAGAGCAAAUGCAAUUUCCUUCCCCAAGUCAAUCUCGGAAGCACACAGAUUGAUGCUGAGUAUGAGGACAAAGACUAAAAGAACAGGUGCAGGGAAAAAAAUCCUCCUUUACCACCCAGAACUUGUUGAUGCAGAUAAGGAGAGUGCAGUACUCAAGAUGGUGGUGGUGGUAUUGAUAAAGAGUCUGUUUCUAAGAGUAAAAUGCUCAUUUAAAAGCAAAAGAAGAAAUACAUGAACAAGUAGAUGGAGCACUCUGAUGGUUUGAAUAAAAAAAUGGCUCCCAUAGGCUCCUGGGGAAUGUUGCUAUUGGGAGGCCCAGCCUUGUUGGAGGAAGUGUAUCACUAAGGGGUGGGCUUUGAGGUCUUAGAAGCUCAAGCCCGGCCAAUGUGUCACUGUCUCUUCCUGCUGCCUGAUGAUCCAGAGGUAGAACUCUCAGCUGCUUUUCCAGCAUCAUUCCUGCCUUCAGGCCACCAUGUUUCCCACCAUGACAAUAAUGGACUAAACCCCCGAGUUCAGUGGACUAAACUGUAAGCCAGCCCCAAUUAAAUGUUUUCCUUUAUAAGAGUUGUCUUGGUCAUGGUGCCUCUUCACAGCAGUAAAACCAUAACUAAGACAAACCCAUCGAAGCACAGCCUUCAUGUUAGAAGCAGAACCAUUGAAUCGUCACAGUUCCUUGUCUCUUGUCUAUAGACAAAGCCAUUGAGGACUGCAGAGGUCCCAGGAGCUUGCUCCUAUGUGGGUGGCAGAGUGACCGGAGUUCUCCAUCCCAUCUUUCUGGUUACAUGGCUGUCAUUCUGCAAAGUGACAGCAGCUCCUCUCACUGAAAGGGGAAUCUGUUUUCUCUCUUACUAGCCUUGUUGUGUACAUGGACUGGGAAUAAAGAGGGGAGAUGGUGGGCUGGUUGCAAGCCUGGGCUGCAAGAGACCACACACACUUUCAUCUACUCUUUGGGAAUCUGACCACUGCCCAGGCUAGCUUUUUAGGAGGAAAUGCCUGUUAGAGCGAACUCUGAGUCCAGCUAAGGCCAGGGCACCAACAGAGUCCAAAUCAGCAGAGUUGCUGUCUCCAGCCUACAGUUGACCAUACAUACAUGAAGAAGUUCAGCCCAGCCCAGAGAAACCGCCUUGCUGGCCUACAGACUCACAAGUGAUUAGAAGUAGUGCAGUUUUAAGCCAUUAAGUUUUGGACUGGCUUUGGUUUAGUAAAAAUGAAUCGAGAGAUCAAGGUAUGUCAGUGAGUCGAUGCUAGGGUUGGGGCUCAUUUCAGAUGUACCCUCUCCCUCCAUACUGUUCUUUUAACACUGCAUUUCUCAGAAACACCAAGAUUCCGAUUUUGGGGGGAUUUUCUGUGUCUUCAGAGCAACCACAGUCACAGCUUCCCACCCAAAGUGAAUUGAAUGUAAUAAUAUUUUAAAACAUAUGCUGGGGGGGCGGUGCUAGGGAGAUGGCAGAGUGCGUAUGUUAAAAAUAAGCACGGUGUUGAAUGUUUACAGUCCCAGCACUGACACGUGUGGUGGAGACAGGUAGAUUCCUGGAGCUCAUUGGUCAGCCUGCUUAGCCUAAUCAGCAAGCCCCAGGUCCCCGAUGAGAGACACUGCAGCCUCAGAAGAUGAAGUGGAUACAGCCCGAGGAGCCGUACCUGAAGGUUACUUCUGGUGUUUCUAUACAUGCAUACAUGGCGCAUACAUCCAGAUAGAUGAAUAGGCAGGCUCUGAGGUCUUAUAAAUAGGCUCACGUUCCUCCCAGUGUGGAACUCAGUCCCCUUCUGCUGCCUGCAGACGAAAAUGUAGAACCCUAGGCUCCUCCAGAACCAAAUGUGUCUACACUCUGCCAUGCUUCCCACCAUGAUGAGAACGGAGUAUACCUCUGAAACUGUAAGCCAUCUCCAAGGAAAUGUUUUCCUUGGUGACUCUUCACAACAAUUUAACCCUAAGACAUGUACAUAUACACAUGUGCACAUAGAUAUUCAUACAGAGACACAUAUAUUAUGCUGGCUUCUCAUCCCCAUUAGAGUGCCCUCUCCACUUCCAAGUCUUGUCCAGUAACAGUACAAUCUAAGCAUAGCACGAGUCCAUCUGGUAUGUGCCUUCGUCCCUUGGCUUCUUGGGACUUCUGUUUACCACCCUUACCCUAGCCAAUCACUUUUUCUCUGAUGCAAGACUCUGCCUGCUCAUAGGUCUCCAUAAGACCCUGGCGAAUAAAUCCUUUUCGGGAAUUCUCACAGCCUAUUCUUAUGGGAGGGUUGUUGGUCAGGCACUAUGCCCACAUGUCUUCUGACAACAGCUCCCUGCUUCCAUUUACGUCUCCUUUAAGAAAGAGGGAACUCGGCCAGCCUGAAAUGGCUAAAUCCCUCAACAGCUAAAGGAAGCACUUCUCCUUGGUCUGUGUCUAGGAGGUAACCCCCUUAGCCCUUGGACGACCUUGUCUGAUAAACAUCUUAGUCAGCUGAGGGGGAGGGAAGGCUGUGUCUAGUAGUUCAUGUUCUCUGGUUUAUGAGGGGACCCUUGGGCCAUACUAUAUCAGGUUUGCCCCUGAUCCAGAGGCUAGAGACUGGAUAGCCGAUCCUGAGUAGAGCCAUAGGUGCUGAGGCUUGGCUUAGGUGUCCUGGCCACGUUAGGUUUUCAGGGCCACUCGUCAUCGACACUGGGGAAUGAAGUGCAGUUGCCUAUGCCUGGUGCAUCUCUGUCCCAUGCUCACUUUAACAAUGCAUCCUUCAUUGUCAUAAGCUGUCACUCUGAUGGCAGUGGCUUUUCUGAACCCCGAGAGUUCUCAUAGCUAACCAUCAAGCUUGAUGGAGCCUCUCUCUCCCUCCCAUGUCUUCUCGCUUUCUCCAAUGUACUGAAUAAAACUGUUCUUCUACUUGUCUCUGGCCAAAUGGUUCUGGCCAUACUGGGGUCAUUUGCCCACUCACACUCUCGUUCACGUGGAUCAUUGGCAAAUUUCUUUCAUGCGAAUUCAGUGCUGUUUGAGACACAACACAGUGCUCGUGAUGAUGAUUUGCUCCAGCAGAGUUUGCAUUUUUGCAGAACUCUGCUAUGGGAACAUGCUUGUGUGAGGGCCACAUACCUAUGUUCCGCUUUAUGCAAAUAAGGGGAAGGGUUUUUUUUUUUUAACUUGAGUAUUUAUUUACAUUUCGAGUGUUAUUUCCUUUCCGGGUUUACCGGCCAACAUCCCCCUAAUCCCUCCGCCUCCUCUUCUUUAUGGGCAUUCCCCUCCCCAUCCUCUCCCCAUUGCCGCCCUCCCCCCAACAAUCACGUUCACUGGGGGUUCAGUCUUAGCAGGACCCAGGGAAGGGGAGGGUUUCUUAACCAAUGCUCAUACUACUGGCAGGCACUGUAUAACUUUCUCCAGCAGUUCUCAUUUCUUGGCUACUCAGAUCACUUGCCCUUGUCCUAUAAACCAAGCACUGACCAUAAUUCCUGCAGAGAGUCAUUAGGUUCUUAUGCUAUCAUUAUCUUAAGAAAAAUUUCUACACAUGAAUUUCUCCAUUAAAGAGAAAUUUAGUUCCCAGAUAUUGAGGAAGCUGAGGCGGUGGUAGAGACAUGAAGGGACCUAGCCAGAGGAGGCAGGUCACUGGAGGGCAGGGCCCCUGGAUUCUAGUCCUGUUCAGGCUCCAGGAUGGCUGCCUCCUUACUGCUGACUGAAUGAUAGCAGCCUUCUCAUCUAUGAGCUACUGUAGCCAUUGAGCCUUUGCUUCCAUGAUGAACUGUUUCCCCUCAAACUGUGAGCCCAAAUGACUCCCCCUCCCUUCAGGAGUUUCAGGUACGUUGUCACGGUGAUAGGGAAAAAAACUAAUACAGAAGGCAAAGGGUGACCACUCUGGAAAUACUAACAGCAUCCUGAAACUUGGAGAGAAGCAAGUGAGGAGAGGAACCAGAGGGUGGGGAGACCCUUGCUCAUAUCUAGGCCCAAGAGAGAGCCAAAAGGCACCUAGGUCUGGCAUGGUUUAGUUGAGAGGGUGCUUACUAUUACCAUUCUCUUCCACAAAAGAGAGCAGACAGAAGAGAACCCACGGGAAAUUAACCAGAUAUGGCAUGUCUGUCAAGCAGAGACACCAGACUAGCUACUUCCUCCCCAUACCUAAUAAGCAGAUGGAGGGAGGAGUCACCCAAUACAUAAGGGAAGGGAACACCCAGGGCCAAGCCUACCAGGAGUAUGGGUUAACUCAACUGCAGAAGCAGAGCCCAGGGCCUCUCCAACUCUUCCUCCUUGCUGCUUUUCCACCUGUCUCUGAGGUAAAGAUAAAUGAAAUACAGCACACCAGCAAGCACAGACAUUUUUCUUCUACUUCUGUCAAUAAAUAUGUUCAGAAAUUGAUGAUUCUGGAAACCAAUUUAAAUUUUCUAAGGAUAAAAGCCAUCUUAAGGUGAACAUUAAAAUUACAUACAUAAAUAAACAGUACAGAAGAGCAAACAGUGCCUGUGUCAGAUUAUAGGACUUGUUAAAGAGUACAUGAUGACCAAAUUGUGACAAAUCAUAUUUGAAAUCUUCAUCAGUGAACUUGGAAUUUAAAACCCCAAAAGAAUCAAUUUAAAGAGAAAAAAAUUAGAUUGGCUCAAAAAAGUAAAAACCUGAGCUGUGGGGCUAGAAGGGUAGGGCAGGAGUAAAGAACUUUCUAAGUUUCGCAGAGGACCUGAGCUCAGUUUCCAGUAAGAACCAGGGGCCUCGCAUCUGCCUGUAGCUCCAGCUUUAAGAGAUCUGUUUAUCUCCUACAUCACUUGCACAUAUGUGCGUGCAUACUCACGCGUGCGUGUGUGCGUGUGCACACACACACACAAAUAAAAAUUUUAAAUAAACAACUAUCAUCAAUAACAACAAAAUCCAGUGGUCAGGACUAGAGGGAUGGCUCAGUGAUUAAGAGUGUUUUCUGUUUUUGCAGAGGACCUGAGUUUGAUGCUCAGCACCCCCAUGAUAACUGACAAUCAUCUAUAACUCCAGUUCCAGGCAACCUGACAUCCUUUGGCCUCCAUGGGUACCAGGCACACGCACACGCAUGGCGCACAGACUACAUGUGGCCAAAACACCCAUACACACACACACACACACACACACACACACACACACACACACACACACACACCCCUGAAAUAAACAAAUAAAAAUGCAAUAAUUAUUAAAGAAAAAUGUCAGCUCUUGCUUGGAAACAAAAGAACAUGCCAAAGUUUUCUGGUGAGACUGGGAUUAAAUAUCUGAAGAAGGAUUUAGCAAAACAAAGGUAACUGGGAGCUGCUAGGUUCCUGAUCUCUGUCAGACAAACUUGGAUCCAAGACUAAUGAAGGCGACCAAGGCAAAGAGGACCAAACUCCAGUGAAGCUGAAAGCCAGAAGACACCGUCCAACAGAUGCUAAAGACCAACUGUCAGCCUGGAGUCAGUAAGGAACUUAGAAAGAAAGGUUUGGAGGACCCAAAGUCUGCCUGCCUGUCUGUCUGCCUGCCUGCCUGCCUGCCUGCCUGUCUGUCUGUCUGUCCGUCUUAAUUACUUUGUGGCAGGGUCUUGUACAGUCCAGGCUAUCUUCAAAUGGGUUAUAUAGUCAAAGGUGAUCUUGAAUAGCCAAGGAUGACUUUUACUUUUUUUCCAAGACAGGGUUGGCUGGCCUUGAACUCACAGAGAUCCUCCUGCCUCUGCUUCCCACAUGUUGGGAUCACCACCAUCACCACAAACACUGUUGCCUGGCUGAUCUUGAUCCCCCUCCAACCCCUCGCCUCCACCUGUCAAGCACUGAGAUGACAGGUGUGUACACCACAGUCAGCUUAUGUGGUACUGAGGCUGGGUCCAGGGCUUCCAGCUGCACACGGGUUGGCCAAGUCCUCAAUGGACUGAGAUGCGUUCCCAUUGUGGGUUGUAUCCAUUCUGAAUGGAGAUAUUUUUAAAGGUCAACUUUGCAGUUUUAUGCCAAGUGCUAUAACAUCAAAUGGUGAACUCAUCUUUUAUAGUCCUGAAGAAUUCUUUAUAGCAAUGAAGGAUAUUAACAGUCUGCAAAGAAACUCUUAACAAGAUCCCCGAAGCAGAAAUGGUAAUUCACUUUCUAGGUGUGAUUCAAGAAAGGAAGAAGUAAAGAAAUUAAAGAGAAGAGGACCUGGAGACUCAGGGGUCAGGGGUCAAGAACACUUACUGUUCUUAUGGAAGGCCCAUGUUUGAGUCCACUUAAAUACAUAUGUCCACAUUAGUAGAAAUAAAAACAAAUCUGAAAAAAGCUAAAUCUUGAGUUGAAUAAACAGAAAAAAGAGGCAGCUCAAAAACAUAUCACUAGGAAUACAAAAUAGGAAGACAAUGUUUUAUGAAACUUUCCACAAUUAAUUAAUAUAUAUUUCUAGAAAAAAACACAAAUAUUACCAGAAUAAACACAUUUUGAUUUUUAUUUGAUUUUUUUUUUUAAAAAAUGUGUGCUUGAGUGUUUUGCCUGCACACAUGCAUGCAUUUCCCUUAAAGUCCAGAAAGGGGCAUUAAGUUCCUUGGAACUGGAGUUGCAGACGGUUGUGAGCCACCAUGUGAGUACAGGGUCCUCUGCAAGUGCUAUUAACCACUGGGCCAUUUUCUAUUUGAAGAAUAAGUGAGUAGCAUUUAUUGAGAAGCAAGGAAAUAACUUGCUGUAGGCAUGAGGGGGCUCAAAAAGGAGUUGUCCUUAAAUUUUACUUCCACACUACAACUAUUACUACUGAUAUAUUUUUAUAAAUAUUACAUUGAUGAUGAUGAUGAUGAUGAUGAUAAGGCCUUGCAUGUGCUAGAUAAGUGCUCUGCCUAAAAUCCACCAGCCCUACAUGAUUUCUUGAUUUUUUUGAGUUCUUCCAAAAAGCCUGAAACAAGUCAUUGAAUAUUCUUAUCAACUACAUCAGAGCACAGAGAAGCAAAAGACAUUCAUUUUCUGAGAAAGCCAUGUAAAAACUAAAAUAAAUAAUAAAUAAACAAAACUCCACAACACUAUAAAAAAUCCAUGCUCUGUGAUCACUAGAAAUGACACGGAAUAAACAUGGCACUAUCAAGGGGAUCUAGCAUGGUCUAGGAAUGUAGGUAAUACUCCAAAUUAGGAAGUAUGUUAAUAAACAUCUUCAACUGUAUAUUUUGUCUUUUUAUGUAUGUAGUAUGCAUGUGUGCUCAAAUGUAUAUGGGUGGGUGCAUGGGCAUAUGUGUGCAUAUGUGUGCCGGCCCAAGGUUGACCCUUGGUAUCUUUCUCAGUCGACAUCCAUGUUGUAUGUUGAAGCAGAGUCUCUCACUGAACCCAGAACUCACCCUUCAGUUACUCUGGCUAGUUGGCUUGCCUCAGAGUUCCCCUUUGAAGGGAUUGCAGGUAGAUUCUGAGGAUCCAAACUCUUGUCCCAUGCUUACUUAGCGAGUACUACGCUGACUGAGCCAUCUCCAUUGAGCUCCCUAUUUUGGCUUGAAAGAAAGAAAAUCUUAAAAAUUUAAUUAGUCGAGAAAUGACAAAACAUUCCCUCACUAUCCACCUAUGUUUCUGCCUAAACCCCUUUUUUACUUCAACACGUUAUCAUUUUAUUGAUUCUAUUUCCCUUGAUAAAGUCUUUCUGGAGUUUUACUCUAUUGACUUUAUCAAAGGCUCAGAUUAAAUGGUUGAAUUUAAUGUUUUUUGCCCUCUGAAUCACUUAAUUUGGUGAUGUCCGUUUUUAUCAUGAGCUUUUCUGUUUCCCUGACACUUACAGCCCCUUGGCUCUUUCUCAUACAUUUUUCCUUUUCUCUUGUGCUUUUGUGUGGGGUACCCAUGCAUGCUUACCUGCGGGCUAGAAUAUGUGCGGGUGUGAUGGGUUACGUUACAUACACGUGGAGGCCAUGAGUUGGUACUGAGGUCCUUUUCUUCAAACUCCCCACCUUUAUUUGAGAUAGAAUCUCUCACUUGACCCCAGAGCUUUCUGGCCGAGAAGUCCGUCUCCUGAUGAUAGGCAGAAAGUCAUGCUCACUCUGCAUUUAGGUGUUUGUGUUAGUACUGGGGACUCUAAUUUCAAUGCUCGUGCGUGUGUGGUAAGAACUCUACCCACAGAAACGCCCUUACCCCACUGUCAGAACGAUCUUCAUUCUCUCAUGAUAAAAAUAUGUAAUUAUGAUUUUACCCCUGGUUACAGAGCUCUCUACAUCUUUUCAGUUUUGAAAGGUCCAUGCUUUAUUUUUCAUUUUCUAUAGAAACUGCAGAUCUUGUUUCCUCAAGGAAUGGACCAUUCUCCUCUCUACCCCGCCCCCAUAAUUCUCAGUGUCCUAAGGAUUUUCCUGUGGACUCAGAUUGACCUUGAACCUAAGAUCCUCAUGCUUCGUCCUCUGAGAGCUGCAAUUAGAGGCUGGCAUCACUGUGCCUGGCCUUGGAUGAUUUUUCCCCCCAAGACUUGUAAGUAUUUUGAUUUAUUGUUUUAAAGAUUUGUUUAUUUUAUCUAUAUGGGUACACUGUAGCUGUCAGAUACACCAGAAGAGGACAUCGGGUCCCAGAUGGUUGUGGGCCACCAUGUGGUUGUUGGGAUUUGAACUCAGGACCUUUGGAAGAGCAAUCAGUGCUCUUAACCACUGAGCCAUCUCUCCAGUCUGUAUUUUGGUUUCUUUAAAAUAAAUAAAUAAAUAAAAACUUACAGGUCAGUGAGAUGGCUUGGAGGUUAAGGUGCCCGCACACAGGCCUGAAGACCUAAAUUUCAUCUCUAAUCCCACAAGGUGGCAGGAGAGAACUGACUCCAGAGAGCUGUCUUUUGACCUCCACAGUGCCCCUCUGUGGCACAUGGUACUAUGCAUACACACACACAUGAGCACACGCAAAUGCGCACGUGUACACAGAUCAAAACUUAACUUGAUAUAAUUUGUUGUUUGCCGCUAUCAAGCACCUCACUCUAUAACUUCUUCUGCCUCGGGGGCCACUUGGCUUUUUUGUCCUCACACAUUUCCAUGUUUAUGUGUAUUCUGUAUGUUUGAGGAGCAUGUGCACUCUUGAUGUGCACUCUUUGUGUGUUCUUAUCACUUGGGACUUGUUAAUUCCAUUAUUUAAAUCUUGACAUUGUAUUUUGUCCUCUCUAGCUAAGAAUAGCUGAUCUCUUGCUUGGUUUUAGAUUUUUCAACAUUGUUAACAUUUCUGUGGGACAUUACUUUGUUCUUUUCCUCAGCUUUACUUGAAGUUUGAAAGGCAAUGAACUCGGUGGCCUCUAACAGAGCACUCUCAGGUACAGGCUGUGGGACCCAGGGAUUUUUAGAAUAUAAAACAUGGGCUUUUAUCUAAAGAGGUUUAGGUUGUGAAACACUUGCUUUUAGUUCUUAUUGUUGUAUAUAUGGUAUAUGUGUCUAUAGGUGUGUGUGCCACGGCAUGUAGGUGGAGUUCAGAAGACUGCAGGAGUUGGCUCUCUCCUACCAUGUGAAUUCUAGGGUUGAAACUGAUCGUCUGCCUUUGAAAUAAGUGACUUCAUCUGCUGCGCUCCCUCACUUGUCCUAACUAGAGUUCUAAAACUUUCUAACUACUCUGAAAACACGUUAGAUGCUACUUAACAGAAAAUUAAACUAUGCCUGCACCUUUACACAUUCCUGUCUUUUCUUUCUUUUUGUCUAAGUCUAAGAAUGGCAAGAACUCUUAGCUUCAGACAGAGGAUGGUUUCAGUGGUGCCAAAGUCAAAAAUAAUAAACGCUUGGUGCACUGGUCAAGUUUGUCAGGGGACUCACUUGUUCACUUGCUUUAAGGUGCAAGGGAUCAAACCGCCUGUGAUGUCAGACAAGCAUUUUGCUGUGGAGGGGCAUGCCAGUCCUGCCAGAAGGUUGUCAUGGAAAAUGGUGCUUGCCUCUUUGAUGUCUCAAGCUGCAGUUGGCAUUGGAGUGGCUCCCUCUGGCUAAUCUAGUAUAAUGGACUCAGUCAGUGUAUGACUGUGUACAUGCUCCUGGAUCCAAGAACUGAUUCAAAGCAAGGAAAAGUGUAAGACACAUGUCUUCAAGUUUCUGUGUAUGCAUGCCCAUGUUUAUGGUUCCCCAUGUAGGUGUUCAUGUACCUGCAUGUGGAGACCAGUAGAGGAAACUUGGUCUCUCUCUCUCUCUCUCUCUCUCUCUCUCUCUCUCUCUUUCUUUCUAUUUUAUUUAGGUUUUUAUAUGAUGUAUGAGUGUCUGCAUGCGGGCCAAUGUAGUAUAUGUCUGAUACCCAUGGAAGACAUGGCCAGAGGGUUUCUGAUUACCUGAUACUGGAGUUACAGAUGGCUGCGAGUCACCAUGUGGAUGCAGGGAACAGAAUACAGGUCCUCUGCAAGAGCCACCAGUGCUCUUAACAGAUGAGCCAUCGCUCUAGCUCAUGUGCAGGUUUUCUGAAUGUGAGAUCUGGGGAUCAAACUCAGGUCGUGGAACUGUUUCAUUGACUAAGCCAUCUCCCUACCCUUCAUGCUCUACCUUUAAUUACAAUCAAAUGAAGCAAAUUUAAAAAAGCACCUUUUGAAUCAUCUUUGCCAAACAUCCCAUUUGAUUGGUCUGGUCUCUGUUGUGUAUCAGGUGUCUUAUCACGUUCCAGAGUGAGGAGAACAUUUUACAGUCUUUUAAAAGCUCAGUGUCCGGUAUGUAAAGGGAAGCAACUCACAGGACUGCUCCUGCAGCACACACGGGUGUUGGUUAUGGUAAAGAAGUUUAAAAACAGAAUUGCACUCUCCUGGGACAACAUCUAUUCUCAAGAUGUUUUUAUUUAUUUAUUCCCGUAUUCCUGUGUGUCUGCGUGUAGGCUUAUAUACCAUGGUGCAUGUGUGGAGGUCAGAGAACAGCUCAUGGGAAUUAGUUCUCUCCUUCCCUCUUGUGGGUUCCAGGGACUGAACUCAGGUUGUCAGGCUUGGCAGCAAGCACCUUUACUCACGGUGCCAUUUUGUCAGCCCAAUAUCUAUUUCUUCUUUCUCCCCUCAAUCCCUCAAUGCUAUGCUUUUUCACUAGUAGACAUCUGUGAAUGUUACUGUACUGGCCGUGUGUGUGUGUGUGUGUGUGUGUGUGUGUGUGUGUGUGUGUGUGUGUGUGUGUUCUCCACAGUGAAACAAUACUCUGUGCAGAAUGCUCUGUAUACGCACCCUCUUCCCCCAGAGCUAAGGUUACUGCUCUGUUUCUCUUACUUUGGAUUCUGGUUAUUUUAAGCAUCCUUUGUCUCUUCUCUGUGCACCUCUGGUUCGCUGUGCACUAGGCAGGUUGGGAAACACAACACAGAUAGCUUUGAGAGGAUCUAGUCUGCCAGGCUAUGUCUGUGCUGUUCCACAGGGUGGCCUCGCAUUUCGUCCUUCCCGAGGUCAACAUUGCCUCUGCCUGUCAUUUGCAGCAUGAACAUACUGUCCUUGUGCUGACAAUGUUCUAUUUUUAAUAACCUGUCUGUUUGUGCCUUAUUCUCAGACACACACCUUGGGCUUAGUGCCCACAAGGCUAGCUGAAGAAGAUGUGUUUUCAACUCAAAAACACUUUCGAGAAGCUCUGAGUUCAGGGUGCUUUUCAAUGGGGUCCAUGAUGAUUUUCUGGCCUCUUCUAAUUUAAUUAUUGUUCUCGACUAAUUUAUUUAUUCAGUGUCAGGAGGGGUUAGGGUAAUUCUGGGUUUGAACUAAAGAAUGAAACUCAUCCGUGCGUGUCCUAUAGGCUUUAUUAGCCGUUUUCCCUCCUCUAUACCCACCCUAGAGAAAGGCUAUGCUGUUUGGGUAUUAUGACUCAAUUACCACUUAUCCACACAUACACUUAAGUAAUGAGACAAGAGAAGGCUGAAGGAGGAAAAGGAAUAGAGGGCCUGAGCCUGUAAGAAGCCUGUAGGAACAACCACUGUGCAGGCUGGGAAAUAUUGAGCAGGAGGACUGGAUGCCAAUGGUCCUGUGGCUGGGAGCUUCUGAAACAACAGUAGCUUGGGAUAUGUUCCCUGGCCUGUAGCCAGGCAAGCACUGGAAGCAAAAAGUUUCAUAAAUUAGUUUUGAUCACUGCCUGGCAUUUCCUAUUUUCAGUUUAUAGAGAUGCCACCAUGUAAUUUGUAUAUCUUCUCCUUGAAGAAUUACUUUUGACAUUUGCAUUAAAUAUUGUGCCAUGUGAUAACUUAUUUAGCCACCGUAUAAUGCGUGCUGCAAUUAAUUCUAUUUAAUUGGGUUCUUUGUUCAACUCUCUGCUUCUGUCAUGACUCCCCCUUCCUUAAGUUCUUUCUUCUUCUAAGUUAAUUUUAAUUAUGUGAGUAAUACUUGAAGGCUUAACUUUAUAUCAAACCCAGGUUGAUCUGGGUUGUCUAUCUCCCUCCACAGAAGUACAGAGGUAGCCACUCCUUUGAGUGCAUCUGUGCACCUGGGCGUUUAUGCAUGUGUGUGUGCACGUGUGCAUGCAUGCAUGCGUGUGUGUGUGUGUGUGUGUGUGUGUGUGUGCGUGUGUGCAUGUAUGCGUCAAGUGUUUGGGUCACUGUACACACCAUGCAUCAGUCAAGCACAGAGGCCAGAGGUUGACUCCCCUAGUUUGUUUUUCAUUGCUGGGAUAAAGAUCAUGACCAAAAGCAACUUGAAAAGGAAAGGGUUUAUUCAGCUUGUAUAUCCCCCUGGCAGUACCUCAUUUGAGGGAAACCAAACUCAGGCAGUAACCUAGAGGCAGAACCUCAAGCAGAGACUGUGAAAGAACCCUUCACACUGGCUUGGUUCUCAUAGCUUGCUCAGCCUGCUCCCUUAUAUCACUCAGGGCUACCCCAGGGGCCUUCUCGCAUCGAUCAUUAAUCAAGAAGAUGCUCUACUGAGUUACCUAUGGGCCAGUCUGGUAGAAAUGUUCUCCCUCUUCUCAGAUAACUCUAGCUGUGUCAAGUAGUCAAAAACUAGCUGACUAACUAAUUAACUAAGGAGAAUAUUGACGUCAGAUGUCUUCCUUGCUCAACUGUACACCACUUAAUUUUUUUAGACAGGAUCCUUCACUGAACCCAGAGCUCAUCAAUUCUGUGUGGCAGCCUGGCCAGCAAAUCCUGCCUGCUAACACUACAGUCAUUCACAGCCACACCCUGCUUUUUAAGUGGGUGCUGAAGACUGAACUUCUGAUCUCACAUGCAUAGCAUCCAGGUGCCCUGGCUGCUUCCUGUUUAUCUAUGUGUUUACUACCUAUUAAUGAUUUGUCCCUCGCUUUUUUUUUUUAGAUUAAUUUGCUUAUUUCAUGUAUGUGAAUACACUGUUGCUGACUUCAGACACACCAGAAGAGGGCAUUGGAUCUCAUUACAGAUGGUUGUGAGCCACCAUGUGGUUGCUGGGAAUUGAACUCAGGACCUCUGGAAGAACAGUCAGUGCUCUUAACCGCCGAGCCAUUUCUCCAGCCCUAUCAUUUGCUUUUUAGAAGGCUUAUUGUUAUUUUAUAUGUGUUUUGUUUACAAUGUAUGUCUGUGCACAUUCUGUAUGCAGUGCCCAAGAAGGCCAGAAGAGGGGGUCAGUUCCCCUUGAACCAGAGUUAUGGCUGUAAACCAUCUUGUGAGUGCUGGGAAUGGAACCCAGGUAUUCUGGAAGAGUAGCUGGUGCUCUAAACCACCAAGCCCCCUGGCGUUCAUCUUAAAAGUAUAAUAUUAAAAAAGUUGUUACAUGGUACGACUUGAUUUCCCUCCACCCUCCUAGUAAUAGAUCUUCGAUCUAGCUGUGUGUCUAUUUUUAAAUCUGGCUUAAAGUUCCUCAGAAUAGAUAACACAGCAGACUUUAUUGUUGUUCGAUUGCUCGGACAUGGUCAGGUGAGGUGAGAGCUAUAUGAAUUGCUCUGGUCAGUGGCUGCUGUCAAGGACAUUGCAGAAUAUCCUUCCCACCAACCUCUCUGAGCACCUACUCAGACAGCAGCCCUUUAGGGAAGGACACUGAGCAGAGGAUCUGUCUCUGCACUGUUGUCUCAGGGGACCAGAGCUGGCCAGAGGGCAGCUCCACAUUGCCCCUCAGCACUUCAAAUGUGGCUGCUGUGAGUAUGAAACUGUAAUUUUAGCUUCCUUUCAUUUUUUUUUAAAUCUCAAGUGCUGGAAAUGAGGAGAAGGGACCCUUAGAUUUUGCUUGUGGGGAUGAAAAUCAGUCCAGC